GGGAACUAAUUUUUCCAUUCCUCUAGAAGGCAAAUAACAGUAAUAGAAACUCCACUAAUGAGAACGAAUGGGGAAUGGGACAUUUUGAUAAACGGAUAUUUCCAUUUCUAGACUUUGUGGUUGAAACUCUUAACUGUGAAGUAAUUCACUGUGAGAAGGCUCAGUCUACAGGAACACAAAAGGGUGCCUUCCAUUUGUGGAUGGAGGGGAUCUGAGGAGCUCUCAUGCUGAACAGGAGUAUGUGCUCCAGAUCAGGCCAAGGGGAUGAGCAGCUCUGGGGGACGAGGCAGAAAGAACAAUCACAGGGGUAGAGCACCAGAGCCUGGGUCCAGAUUCUUAAAACAGAUCAAAACUCAAUCAUUUUCCUGUGGUCAUCCUGCUGAAUCUACUGUUUCCCUUACACCUUCAACUUCAUAUUAUUAGUGAAUCUAGAACAGAUUUCUAAAACAAGCAAAGAAGUUGCAGCUUUUACUAGGUGUCCUUUUCAGACUGUGUUAUGUAAAACAACUCUAGACAUCAAGUUGCAGGUGGCUUUAAAAAAGAAAUCUUCUAAAGAAAGUAAGGUAGAAUACAUGACAUGAGAUUUGGCACACAGAUUUUCAGUGAAUUUCGAGAUAUGCAAAAUGCUACCCAGUUACAUCAGUAUCAUUUCCCUUUCUGUUGUGGAAUGAAGUUUCCUUUCCUAAUGAGGAAUGCUAAGGGAAACAGAACAAAGCUACAAAGAAAAGAACCAUUCUUUGCAAUGGCAUUUGACACUGGACCCCGGGGCAUGUGCUCCGUAAGUUUGACACAUUUUGAAAGUACCGGUGUCCCCAGCUCAGCUUGACUGUGAACCGGGUCUACAUAGCCACCUUUAGUCCUCCCAGGGAAUAAAUUAAAUCUGCAUCUUGACUGUGUUGCCUGGAAGAGACUGUUCAAUUAUUUAUGGCGCAAUAGCAGAGAGUUGCUCUUCUCUGCAAGUUGGGGGGGCGAGGGUGGGAGUGUACAUUGCCUCUUGCCUACUUCAGGCCACGGCGUUAGUGAGUCCAGUAAUGUCUAGAGAAAAUAACAAGGCUGGAGGCAACCAAGAUAUAUUAACGAAAAAGAGGCAGUAAAUCACUUUUUACUGUUUGGAGACUGCUCAGGCCAGCGCAACUGCUACCGUGUUCUGGUGCUGCCCGGGCUGUGGCAGAAGUGCACUGAUGCCUGACUGCGGAAGGCUGGGCAGGCGGCUGGUUAAAGACCACAUGGAUUUAAGGCUGAAGUUUGAAAAUGGAAAUAAGAAGAAACUCAAGAAUUUGUAACCAGGGAUUUUACUAAUUGGAGACUUCUGCUUUCCAUUUUCGGUCCUAAUUCACAGACACAGUGUCAUAACAGCUUCAUGUUGAGAAUCAGAAGACCCAACUCUUGGUCUCAGAGGGCUGACUUCUUUAAAGUUUUUGUUAUUUACUAGUAUUUCGGAAAUCACUGAAGCACAGAGUCACUUGGAGAGCCACAGUGGCGUUUCUGUGAGGGUGAGUCUUUGCAGUGGAGACUUAGCCCUUGAUCCAUGCAGUCCAAAUUGCUUUAACAUAGAAAAGAAUAAAUAAUACUACUGUAUAAUUAUUGAGAAGAUUUAAACACAAGAUUUAAACACAUAUAUCCCGAGAUAGGCAAUACGUUUACAUGUCAAGGCAAAAUAAUCUCAAUACCUUGUGGCCUUUU